rnacentral:rRNA from 1 species
AUUGAACGCUGGCGGCAUGCUUUACACAUGCAAGUCGAACGGUAACAGGGAGCUUGCUCCGCUGACGAGUGGCGAACGGGUGAGUAAUAUAUCGGAACGUACCCAAGAGUGGGGGAUAACGUAGCGAAAGUUACGCUAAUACCGCAUACGAUCUAUGGAUGAAAGCAGGGGACCUUCGGGCCUUGUGCUCCUGGAGCGGCCGAUAUCUGAUUAGCUAGUUGGUGAGGUAAAGGCUCACCAAGGCGACGAUCAGUAGCUGGUCUGAGAGGACGACCAGCCACACUGGAACUGAGACACGGUCCAGACUCCUACGGGAGGCAGCAGUGGGGAAUUUUGGACAAUGGGCGCAAGCCUGAUCCAGCAAUGCCGCGUGAGUGAAGAAGGCCUUCGGGUUGUAAAGCUCUUUUGUCAGGGAAGAAACGGGAUUGGCUAAUAUCCAGUCCUAAUGACGGUACCUGAAGAAUAAGCACUGGCUAACUACGUGCCAGCAGCCGCGGUAAUACGUAGGGUGCAAGCGUUAAUCGGAAUUACUGGGCGUAAAGCGUGCGCAGGCGGUUUUGUAAGUCUGACGUGAAAUCCCCGGGCUCAACCUGGGAAUUGCGUUGGAGACUGCAAGGCUAGAAUCUGGCAGAGGGGGGUAGAAUUCCACGUGUAGCAGUGAAAUGCGUAGAGAUGUGGAGGAACACCGAUGGCGAAGGCAGCCCCCUGGGUCAAGAUUGACGCUCAUGCACGAAAGCGUGGGGAGCAAACAGGAUUAGAUACCCUGGUAGUCCACGCCCUAAACGAUGUCUACUAGUUGUCGGGUUUUAAUUAACUUGGUAACGCAGCUAACGCGUGAAGUAGACCGCCUGGGGAGUACGGUCGCAAGAUUAAAACUCAAAGGAAUUGACGGGGACCCGCACAAGCGGUGGAUGAUGUGGAUUAAUUCGAUGCAACGCGAAAAACCUUACCUACCCUUGACAUGUCAGGAAUGCCGAAGAGAUUUGGCAGUGCCCGAAAGGGAACCUGAACACAGGUGCUGCAUGGCUGUCGUCAGCUCGUGUCGUGAGAUGUUGGGUUAAGUCCCGCAACGAGCGCAACCCUUGUCAUUAGUUGCUACAUUUAGUUGAGCACUCUAAUGAGACUGCCGGUGACAAACCGGAGGAAGGUGGGGAUGACGUCAAGUCCUCAUGGCCCUUAUGGGUAGGGCUUCACACGUCAUACAAUGGUACAUACAGAGGGCCGCCAACCCGCGAGGGGGAGCUAAUCCCAGAAAGUGUAUCGUAGUCCGGAUCGUAGUCUGCAACUCGACUACGUGAAGUUGGAAUCGCUAGUAAUCGCGGAUCAGCAUGUCGCGGUGAAUACGUUCCCGGGUCU